CCUACGGGUGGCAGCAGUGAGGAAUAUUGGUCAAUGGCCGGAAGUCUGAACCAGCCAAGCCGCGUGAAGGACGAAGGUGCCAAGCAUUGUAAACUUCUUUUGUCAAGGGACAAAAUCAGGCUCGAGAGCCUGACCGAGGGUACUUGAAGAAAAAGCAUCGGCUAACUCCGUGCCAGCAGCCGCGGUAAUACGGAGGAUGCGAGCGUUAUCCGGAUUUAUUGGGUUUAAAGGGUGCGUAGGCGGACUGUUAAGUCAGCGGUAAAAGCCCGGGGCUCAACCCCGGCGAGCCGUUGAAACUGGCUGUCUUGAGAUGGCGAGAGGUAUGCGGAAUGCGCAGUGUAGCGGUGAAAUGCUUAGAUAUUGCGCAGAACUCCGAUUGCGAAGGCAGCAUACCGGCGGCGAUCUGACGCUGAGGCACGAAAGCGUGGGUAUCGAACAGGAUUAGAUACCCGAGUAGUC
rnacentral:rRNA from 1 species